AUGAUGCCAAACUACAAAGAUCUCAAGCCAACGGAAGUCAUUGGAAGAAUUGUUGCUCAUGAGAUGUCACUCAAGGAUAAGGAAGAACUUCACAACAAGUCAAGUGGUGCUUACAAAGCCUCAUGUGAAGCCCCCACAUCAUCAAGUGAGAAACAAACCUUCAAUGAAGAAUUGAGCUUAAUGGUGAAGAACUUCAACAAAUUCUACAAGAGUAGAAGCAAAGAAAGAAGCUCCAAGUCAAGGUCAUACAAUGACAAAGAUCUUCUAGUCGAGAGCGCAAUUGCUACAAUUGUGGGAGACCCGGACACUAUUCCAAUGAGUGUACGACACCCUACAAAAGAAGAGAAGAUUCUCCAAAAAGAAGAAGCUAAAGAGAAGAAUCACCACCAAGAGAGAGGAGGAGUAGAGAUGAUCGUUAUGAACGAAGACCCUCACGGAGAAGCAAGGAUUCAGAAAGGAAGGACAAGUCAUCAAGGA
rnacentral:rRNA from 1 species